CCUACGGGUGGCAGCAGUGAGGAAUAUUGGUCAAUGGACGCAAGUCUGAACCAGCCAUGCCGCGUGCAGGACGAAGGUGCCAAGCAUUGUAAACUUCUUUUGUCCAGGGACAAACUCAGGCACGCGAACCUGACCGAGGGUACUUGAAGAAAAAGCAUCGGCUAACUCCGUGCCAGCAGCCGCGGUAAUACGGAGGAUGCUAGCGUUAUCCGGAUUUAUUGGGGUUAAAGGGUGCGUAGGCUGUGCGGUAAGUUAGCGGUGAAAUGCCCCGGCUCAACGGGGUGAAGUGCCAUUGAUACUGUCUGGCUGGAGUGUAGAUGCGGUAGGAGGAAUGUGUGGUGUAGCGGUGAAAUGCUUAGAGAUCACACAGAACACCGAUUGCGAAGGCAGCUUACGAAUCUGCGAUUGACGUUGAGGCACGAAAGCGUGGGGAGCAAACAGGAUUAGAUACCCGUGUAGUC
rnacentral:rRNA from 1 species